rnacentral:rRNA from 1 species
AAACCGUUCAGGGGUAAACCUGAGAAACCCAAAAGAUCGAUCGGGGAGAUUCACCGUCAGCGAGGCUGACUUCGCGGUGGUACGCGAUGUCCGGCGUUACGGCGCCGCGACACGCUGCCGCCGCGUUAAUGCUCAGUCGCGUCGGCGUGCACUUCUCCCCUAGUAGGACGUCGCGACCCGUCGAGUGUCGGUCUACGGCACGGGAGCGAGCCUGUCACGUUGCGUCUCACGGCGCACGGGGCAGAACCCCGUUGUCCCGGCCGGCUGCUCGGCGGUACACGCACGGUAUCGGGCCGCAGACUCCGCGAGACUGCGUCCAGCCCGUCGCAAGCGACGGUCAGUGUAUACCCGGAGUGCCACGGACUUAGCGCCGUCCCCGGGCCUGACCCGCUGUUGGUCGACGGUGUCCUCGGACCGGCCAAGAACGCAAUACCGGUCGGCGACGCUACUGCUUUGGGUACUUUCAGGA